GGGGCCGUCAUGGUUUUGACGGAGAAUGAAAGACUAGCGACAGCAGUGGCCUGGUAAACCUAACUACCAAAAAACAAUAACUGACAAAAAAGUCGAACCUUGGAUGAUGGGCAAUGCCCGUUUGUCCGCCGCUCGCGCUUAAUUUAGCACCUAACAAUUGGUUCCCGCUAGGCGGGACGAGCACGUUCCCUGCGGUUUCCGCGUCUCACGCGCAGGUGUAGCGCCAUACCAAGACGAUAAGCUUGUCAUCUUAACCGGGGUGGCUUGACGAAAAUUAAGGUCUCGGCCAUGGGGAUUCGGCAGAAUCCUUGCCCAUGGCUUAAAUCAGAUUCUGCCUAAACUGUAGACGUUACUAGGAGGUCUUCUUCGGACCGGGGUUCGAAUCCCCGCGACUCCACCA
rnacentral:tmRNA from 1 species